UACGUAGGGGGCUAGCGUUGUCCGGAAUCAUUGGGCGUAAAGAGCGUGUAGGCGGCCAGGUAGGUCUGCUGUGAAAACUCGAGGCUCAACCUCGAGACGUCGGCGGAAACCAUCUGGCUAGAGUCCGGAAGAGGAGAGUGGAACUCCUGGUGUAGCGGUGAAAUGCGCAGAUAUCAGGAAGAACACCCGUGGCGAAGGCGGCUCUCUGGGACGGUACUGACGCUGGGACGCGAAAGCGUGGGGAGCGAACAGG
rnacentral:rRNA from 1 species